GACGAACGCUGGCGGCGUGCUUAACACAUGCAAGUCGAACGAGUGGCGAACGGGUGAGUAAUACGUGAGUAACCUGCCCUCUUUUUGGGAUAAGCCUUGGAAACGGGGUCUAAUACCGGAUACAGGGGGAUGGGCUCGCGGCCUAUCAGCUUGUUGGUGGGGUGAUGGCCUACCAAGGCGGUGACGGGUAGCCGGCCUGAGAGGGUGAACGGCGACAGUGGGACGGAGCUUCGGCCCAUGCGAGUAAGGGAGGCAGAAGUGGGGGAUAUUGGAGAAAGGGCGAAAGACUGAUGCAGCGACGCCGCGGAGGGGAUGAAGGCUUUAGGGUUGUAACACUGUUUAGCUAUCGAAAGGGUAGGUGGAGAAGAAGCGCCGGCUAACUACGUGCCAGCAGCCGCGGUAAUAC
rnacentral:rRNA from 1 species